CUCAAAUGCCAUGUGUAUGUGACUGGGCAUAGUUUAGGCGGAGCAUUGGCCACCCUUCUUGCUCUCGAGCUUUCCUCUAGUCAGUUGGCUAAGUGUGGGGCAAUCUCUGUGACUAUGUAUAACUUUGGGUCUCCUAGAGUUGGUAACAAAAAGUUUGCAUAAGUUUAUAACAGGAAAGUUAAAGAUAGCUGGCGAGUUGUAAAUCACAGAGAUAUUAUACCAAUAGUCCCUCGCUUGAUGGGUUAUUACCAUGUAGCUCAACCUGUUUAUCUAGCAGCUGGAGAUCUAACAGAAGCCUUGGUGG